UGAACGCUAGCUACAGGCUUAACACAUGCAAGUCGAGGGGCAGCAUUUUAGUUUGCUUGCAAACUGAAGAUGGCGACCGGCGCACGGGUGAGUAACACGUAUCCAACCUGCCGAUAACUCCGGAAUAGCCUUUCGAAAGAAAGAUUAAUACCGGAUAGCAUACGAAUAUCGCAUGAUAUUUUUAUUAAAGAAUUUCGGUUAUCGAUGGGGAUGCGUUCCAUUAGUUUGUUGGCGGGGUAACGGCCCACCAAGACAACGAUGGAUAGGGGCUCUGAGAGGAAGGUCCCCCACAUUGGAACUGAGACACGGUCCAAACUCCUACGGGAGGCAGCAGUGAGGAAUAUUGGUCAAUGGGCGAGAGCCUGAACCAGCCAAGUAGCGUGAAGGAUGAAGGCUCUAUGGGUCGUAAACUUCUUUUAUAUGGGAAUAAAGUUUUCCACGUGUGGAAUUUUGUAUGUACCAUAUGAAUAAGGAUCGGCUAACUCCGUGCCAGCAGCCGCGGUAAUACGGAGGAUCCGAGCGUUAUCCGGAUUUAUUGGGUUUAAAGGGAGCGUAGGUGGAUUGUUAAGUCAGUUGUGAAAGUUUGCGGCUCAACCGUAAAAUUGCAGUCGAAACUGGCAGUCUUGAGUACAGUAGAGGUGGGCGGAAUUCGUGGUGUAGCGGUGAAAUGCUUAGAUAUCACGAAGAACUCCGAUUGCGAAGGCAGCUCACUAGACUGUCACUGACACUGAUGCUCGAAAGUGUGGGUAUCAAACAGGAUUAGAUACCCUGGUAGUCCACACAGUAAACGAUGAAUACUCGCUGUUUGCGAUAUACAGUAAGCGGCCAAGCGAAAGCAUUAAGUAUUCCACCUGGGGAGUACGCCGGCAACGGUGAAACUCAAAGGAAUUGACGGGGGCCCGCACAAGCGGAGGAACAUGUGGUUUAAUUCGAUGAUACGCGAGGAACCUUACCCGGGCUUAAAUUGCAACAGAAUAUAUUGGAAACAGUAUAGCCGUAAGGCUGUUGUGAAGGUGCUGCAUGGUUGUCGUCAGCUCGUGCCGUGAGGUGUCGGCUUAAGUGCCAUAACGAGCGCAACCCUUAUCUUUAGUUACUAACAGGUGAUGCUGAGGACUCUAGAGAGACUGCCGUCGUAAGAUGUGAGGAAGGUGGGGAUGACGUCAAAUCAGCACGGCCCUUACGUCCGGGGCUACACACGUGUUACAAUGGGGGGUACAGAAGGCGGCUACCUGGUGACAGGAUGCUAAUCCCAAAAACCUCUCUCAGUUCGGAUCGAAGUCUGCAACCCGACUUCGUGAAGCUGGAUUCGCUAGUAAUCGCGCAUCAGCCAUGGCGCGGUGAAUACGUUCCCGGGCCUUGUACACACCGCCCGUCAAGCCAUGAAAGCCGGGGGUACCUGAAGUACGUAACCGCAAGGAGCGUCCUAGGGUAAAACUGGUAAUUGGGG
rnacentral:rRNA from 1 species